ACACACAGACACAAACCAUUUACCUGGAGUAUAAGACUGCCAAUGACACAUGCGCGCAGGGGACAUGUCCCCCCCCCAGAUUCCUAGUGACCCCGAUCCGUCCCCACCACUCUCCCUACAUAAGGCCACAAGCAUCAGUUCAUAACUGCGCAGCUGAUUAGGCAAUGUAUUAGUGUGUGUAAUGUUGUUGGCGUGUGUUAGCAGGUAGAGGCACUAGUAAGGUUUCUGAUGGUGGUGCCCAUAUCAUCUGCGGAGGCGGAGCGCAGUUUCAGUGCGUUACGCAGAUUGAAAACAGGGUUGCGAUCAACCAUGACACAAAAAAGGCUCAAUGGCCAGACAAGAUAUUGCCCAGCAAUAUCUUCAGGGAAAUGAAAGGAGGAGAGAUGUUUUUGGGACCUAUUGAGUCUGCUUCUAGAGAGUAGGCUACAUUUGUUUGGCUGCAGAGUAAUUCUUUUUUUGUUUUAAUCAAUUUUGUUUAUCAUUGGAAACAAUUUACAAUGAAAAGUCAUACUUGCAGAGGGAAUUCCGAAUAUUUAAUUUAAAGUGUAAAUUUAAUUUCACAUUUCAUGGGGUUCAAGGAUAAUCUCCAUGCUGUAGUCUGCCUUGCAAAAAAUGCUGUCGGACCCACAGCAACACGACCAGAUGACAUCCACACACUGUACUCUGGAAAGACAGUGGAGAUCAACAACACUGAUGCAGAAGGCAGGCUGGUGUUGUCUGAUGGCGUGGUGUAUGCAAGCAAGGAUCUUUGUGCUGACAUCAUUUUGGACAUGGCCACUCUGACAGGGGCUCAGUACCACGCGGCCGUGAUGACCAACAGUGAGCACAGGGGAGGCUGCUUGUGUGCGUGCUGGCUGCAGCAGUGGAGACCUGGCCCAUCCUCUGGUCUACUGCCCAGAACUGCACUUUGGAGAGUUUACCUCCGCUGUGGCUAACAUGAAGAACUCUGUAGCAGUAAGCUGUCCCCCUCCUCAUCCUCAAGUGUCAAACUUCUCGUCUUCAAAUUUUGGAGCUCAUAAAAGUCGUUUCAGAAACAUCAAGACAUUUUGAUUUUUGUUCUCGCUAGUUAGGUUCAAUGUCCAUGGAAGAUUCAUGUUGAAAAUAAGUCCAAAAUAUGUGUGAACAAUGAUUUAUAUUAGGUGGAAUGUUGUUUUGUAAAACAUUUGAAUUUAUAAAUAUCCAACAAACCUUGG